AGUGAACGCUGGCGGUAGGCCUAACACAUGCAAGUCGAACGGCAGCACAGUAAGAGCUUGCUCUUACGGGUGGCGAGUGGCGGACGGGUGAGGAAUACAUCGGAAUCUACUUUUUCGUGGGGGAUAACGUAGGGAAACUUACGCUAAUACCGCAUACGACCUACGGGUGAAAGCAGGGGAUCUUCGGACCUUGCGCGAUUGAAUGAGCCGAUGUCGGAUUAGCUAGUUGGCGGGGUAAAGGCCCACCAAGGCGACGAUCCGUAGCUGGUCUGAGAGGAUGAUCAGCCACACUGGAACUGAGACACGGUCCAGACUCCUACGGGAGGCAGCAGUGGGGAAUAUUGGACAAUGGGCGCAAGCCUGAUCCAGCCAUACCGCGUGGGUGAAGAAGGCCUUCGGGUUGUAAAGCCCUUCUGUUGGGAAAGAAAAGCAGCUGGUUAAUACCCCGCUGUUCUGACGGUACCCAAAGAAUAAGCACCGGCUAACUUCGUG
rnacentral:rRNA from 1 species